GACGAACGCUGGCGGCGUGCCUAACACAUGCAAGUCGAGCGAGUGAAUCUCCUUCGGGAGUGAAGCUAGCAGCGGACGGGUGAGUAACACGUGGGCAACCUGCCUCAUAGAGGGGAAUAGCCUUCCGAAAGGAAGAUUAAUACCGCAUAAGAUUGUAGCUUCGCAUGAAGUAGCAAUUAAAGGAGCAAUCCGCUAUGAGAUGGGCCCGAGGCGCAUUAGCUAGUUGGGUAGGUAGCGGCUCACCAAGGCGACGAUGCGUAGCCGACCUGAGAGGGUGAUCGGCCACAUUGGGACUGAGACACGGCCCAGACUCCUACGGGAGGCAGCAGUGGGGAAUAUUGCACAAUGGGGGAAACCCUGAUGCAGCAACGCCGCGUGAGUGAUGACGGCCUUCGGGUUGUAAAGCUCUGUCUUCAGGGACGAUAAUGACGGUACCUGAGGAGGAAGCCACGGCUAACUACGUGCCAGCCGCCGCUGUAA
rnacentral:rRNA from 1 species